rnacentral:rRNA from 1 species
GCGUACCUUUUGUAUAAUGGGUCAGCGACUUAUAUUCUGUAGCAAGGUUAACCGAAUAGGGGAGCCGAAGGGAAACCGAGUCUUAACUGGGCGUUAAGUUGCAGGGUAUAGACCCGAAACCCGGUGAUCUAGCCAUGGGCAGGUUGAAGGUUGGGUAACACUAACUGGAGGACCGAACCGACUAAUGUUGAAAAAUUAGCGGAUGACUUGUGGCUGGGGGUGAAAGGCCAAUCAAACCGGGAGAUAGCUGGUUCUCCCCGAAAGCUAUUUAGGUAGCGCCUCGUGAAUUCAUCUCCGGGGGUAGAGCACUGUUUCGGCAAGGGGGUCAUCCCGACUUACCAACCCGAUGCAAACUGCGAAUACCGGAGAAUGUUAUCACGGGAGACACACGGCGGGUGCUAACGUCCGUCGUGAAGAGGGAAACAACCCAGACCGCCAGCUAAGGUCCCAAAGUCAUGGUUAAGUGGGAAACGAUGUGGGAAGGCCCAGACAGCCAGGAUGUUGGCUUAGAAGCAGCCAUCAUUUAAAGAAAGCGUAAUAGCUCACUGGUCGAGUCGGCCUGCGCGGAAGAUGUAACGGGGCUAAACCAUGCACCGAAGCUGCGGCAGCGACACUGUGUGUUGUUGGGUAGGGGAGCGUUCUGUAAGCCUGUGAAGGUGUGCUGUGAGGCAUGCUGGAGGUAUCAGAAGUGCGAAUGCUGACAUAAGUAACGAUAAAGCGGGUGAAAAGCCCGCUCGCCGGAAGACCAAGGGUUCCUGUCCAACGUUAAUCGGGGCAGGGUGAGUCGACCCCUAAGGCGAGGCCGAAAGGCGUAGUCGAUGGGAAACAGGUUAAUAUUCCUGUACUUGGUGUUACUGCGAAGGGGGGACGGAGAAGGCUAUGUUGGCCGGGCGACGGUUGUCCCGGUUUAAGCGUGUAGGCUGGUUUUCCAGGCAAAUCCGGAAAAUCAAGGCUGAGGCGUGAUGACGAGGCACUACGGUGCUGAAGCAACAAAUGCCCUGCUUCCAGGAAAAGCCUCUAAGCAUCAGGUAACAUCAAAUCGUACCCCAAACCGACACAGGUGGUCAGGUAGAGAAUACCAAGGCGCUUGAGAGAACUCGGGUGAAGGAACUAGGCAAAAUGGUGCCGUAACUUCGGGAGAAGGCACGCUGAUAUGUAGGUGAAGUCCCUCGCGGAUGGAGCUGAAAUCAGUCGAAGAUACCAGCUGGCUGCAACUGUUUAUUAAAAACACAGCACUGUGCAAACACGAAAGUGGACGUAUACGGUGUGACGCCUGCCCGGUGCCGGAAGGUUAAUUGAUGGGGUCAGCGCAAGCGAAGCUCUUGAUCGAAGCCCCGGUAAACGGCGGCCGUAACUAUAACGGUCCUAAGGUAGCGAAAUUCCUUGUCGGGUAAGUUCCGACCUGCACGAAUGGCGUAAUGAUGGCCAGGCUGUCUCCACCCGAGACUCAGUGAAAUUGAACUCGCUGUGAAGAUGCAGUGUACCCGCGGCAAGACGGAAAGACCCCGUGAACCUUUACUAUAGCUUGACACUGAACAUUGAGCCUUGAUGUGUAGGAUAGGUGGGAGGCUUUGAAGUGUGGACGCCAGUCUGCAUGGAGCCGACCUUGAAAUACCACCCUUUAAUGUUUGAUGUUCUAACGUGGACCCGUGAUCCGGGUUGCGGACAGUGUCUGGUGGGUAGUUUGACUGGGGCGGUCUCCUCCUAAAGAGUAACGGAGGAGCACGAAGGUUGGCUAAUCCUGGUCGGACAUCAGGAGGUUAGUGCAAUGGCAUAAGCCAGCUUGACUGCGAGCGUGACGGCGCGAGCAGGUGCGAAAGCAGGUCAUAGUGAUCCGGUGGUUCUGAAUGGAAGGGCCAUCGCUCAACGGAUAAAAGGUACUCCGGGGAUAACAGGCUGAUACCGCCCAAGAGUUCAUAUCGACGGCGGUGUUUGGCACCUCGAUGUCGGCUCAUCACAUCCUGGGGCUGAAGUAGGUCCCAAGGGUAUGGCUGUUCGCCAUUUAAAGUGGUACGCGAGCUGGGUUUAGAACGUCGUGAGACAGUUCGGUCCCUAUCUGCCGUGGGCGCUGGAGAACUGAGGGGGGCUGCUCCUAGUACGAGAGGACCGGAGUGGACGCAUCACUGGUGUUCGGGUUGUCAUGCCAAUGGCACUGCCCGGUAGCUAAAUGCGGAAGAGAUAAGUGCUGAAAGCAUCUAAGCACGAAACUUGCCCCGAGAUGAGUUCUCCCUGACCCUUUAAGGGUCCUGAAGGAACGUUGAAGACGACGACGUUGAUAGGCCGGGUGUGUAAGCGCAGCGAUGCGUUGAGCUAACCGGUACUAAUGAACCGUGAGGCUUAACCUU